GACGAACGCUGGCGGCGUGCUUAACACAUGCAAGUCGAACGGAAAGGCCCUGCUUUUGUGGGGUGCUCGAGUGGCGAACGGGUGAGUAACACGUGAGUAACCUGCCCUUGACUUUGGGAUAACUUCAGGAAACUGGGGCUAAUACCGGAUAGGAGCUCCUGCUGCAUGGUGGGGGUUGGAAAGUUUCGGCGGUUGGGGAUGGACUCGCGGCUUAUCAGCUUGUUGGUGGGGUAGUGGCUUACCGAGGCUUUGACGGGUAGCCGGCCUGAGAGGGUGACCGGCCACAUUGGGACUGAGAUACGGCCCAGACUCCUACGGGAGGCAGCAGUGGGGAAUAUUGCACAAUGGGCGGAAGCCUGAUGCAGCAACGCCGCGUGCGGGAUGACGGCCUUCGGGUUGUAAACCGCUUUCGCCUGUGACGAAGCAUGAGUGACGGUAAUGGGUAAAGAAGCACCGGCUAACUACGUG
rnacentral:rRNA from 1 species